UACGUAGGGUGCGAGCGUUGUCCGGAAUUAUUGGGCGUAAAGAGCUCGUAGGCGGUGUGUCACGUCGUUCGUGAAAACCUGCAGCUUAACUGUGGGCGUGCGGUCGAUACGGGCAUCACUGGAGUUCGGCAGGGGAGACUGGAAUUCCUGGUGUAGCGGUGAAAUGCGCAGAUAUCAGGAGGAACACCGGUGGCGAAGGCGGGUCUCUGGGCCGAUACUGACGCUGAUGCGCGAAAGCCAGGGGAGCGAACGGG
rnacentral:rRNA from 1 species